UACAGAGGGGGGCAAGCGUUGUUCGGAAUUACUGGGCGUAAAGGGCGCGUAGGCGGCCUGCUAAGUCGAACGUGAAAUCCCCAGGCUCAACCUGGGAACUGCGUCCGAUACUGGAUGGCUUGAAUCCGGGAGAGGGAUGCAGAAUUCCAGGUGUAGCGGUGAAAUGCGUAGAUAUCUGGAGGAAUACCGGUGGCGAAGGCGGCAUCCUGGACCGGCAUUGACGCUGAGGAGCGAAAGCCAGGGGAGCA
rnacentral:rRNA from 1 species